CAAAGUCCCAACCAUUUGUCUUCCUAAAAUACUGGUCCUUCCGUAUAACAAUAACCUCGUAUGUGAUUGGAGGACCCUUAGACUCCUCGUCCAAUCACGUGUGAGGUUAUUGUUAUACGGAAGGACCAGUAUUUUAGGAAGACAAAUGGUUGGGACUUUGAAACAGCUGAUAUGCUUUAUGUAAAGCAGUGUUUUGGUGUCAGCGGAACGACUUUCCCUAGAAAUCUGUACAGUGGUGCCUCUUUCUCCAUUCCACCAGACACUCUAGAGUCUGACAGACAUGCAAUGUUGACAAUGUAUCAUCACAUGUACCCUUGUGUCACUGAGGUUGAAUGUUUUGCCAUGACAUGUAAACGGGUAACAUAUAUGAAUGUAACUUACUCAAUCGAUAGAUGCAGAGCAGAAAGGUCAGCAUAUGUUCAUGCUAAGUGGUGUGGAAACACUAACAGUUUUGAGGAACCCGUCCUUGACCCUCUAGCAGAACUACGACCAGCCAUUAUAAAGCAGUUUAUAGUUGUUAAUGUUGUGUCAAAGGGUACGGCAUUUAAACAUGUUCUUGCACAAGUUUCCUGGCUUCAUCCCCACCCGGACAGACAUUUUGAUGGAAAGCCAAUAGAAGUUUGGGGCUUGCAGGGAACAGACACGUCAUACAGCAUCACUUCUGCCAGUUGGGCGCAUUGCUAGAAGAUGUGUGGUU
ensembl:lncRNA